AUUCUUUUCAAGUUGAGAAUUAAGGCUGUCAUUAUCGAAGUAGUUAAAAUCUGCUGAUUCCUGACGUUAGAUGAUUAUUAAUUACGUGUCCUGUUCCUAUACUUUAAAAAGUCUUUUCAUUUAUUGAACGAAAAAAAGAAAAGAAAAAAAGAGUCUUUUCAUUUAUAUUACUUUUUUGGGUGUAAUUUAUUACUUGUUAACUAGUUGAUGUUUCACAUCUUGUGUGAAUUAAUAUAUCUAUAUAUCUAAUAAUUUUUAAUUUUAAUAUUUAUUUUUAUAAAACAAUAAUAACUAAACUAAAUACAAAAUUUAAAUUAUUAUAAAUUAUAAAGCUUUAAUAUUCAUAUUGGUAAUCAUUGUACUAAAUUAUGUUUUAUUAGAUCAAUUUUUUUUCUAUAAUAAUAAUUAAAUUAGGAAACUUGUAUUUGAAAUAAAAUAUAUGUAGUAUUUGGACUGAAAAGAAACCAUGUGGUACUGGAAAAGAUUAUAAAAAAUCACAACUAUAAAACAUUAAUAAAAUAACAAUAAUUUAGGAGCAAACCGAAAUAGGGUAAACGGUCUUGCUUUGGUAGUAUCGAGUAAACUGAAUAGAUGUUAUUUUAAGAAACCGCAGUAUAUGGAUAUCGUUGAUUAUAUUAAGUGAUCAAAUCGAAUAAACCAAAGAAACCAGUUAAUUCAGAUAUAUUAAAAUACUUAUAUAUAAAAAUGUAUUUCAUCAGUAUUUCCUAUAAAAAUCAAAGAAAUAGCUAUAAUAUUAGUCAUUAAAAUCAUAAAUUAAUAGAAGAUAAAAGUAAUGAUUAUAUUAUGAGUAGAUACUAGAUUUUGAUCCGCGUUUUGAAAGCGCGGUUUAUUUUUUUUUUCAAUUGACAAAUAUUUAGUAAAUGUCAUAUUUUCAUAUAUUUGUGUUUUAUUUUAUAAAAGACUUAAACUUUUUAUCUUUAUUUAUUGUAUUUCAUUUAAAUGACUAUUUAUGUUUAAAAAAUCAAACUUUAUUUCUUUAAUGAAUUAAGUUGGUAUAACUCUGAUAAUAUUUUAUACUUUUCAAUGAAAAAAAUUAAUUUUUAUAUGAAUGCUUAAAUUAUAUUAAGAAAAGAAAAAAAAAUAAUUAAGAAUCGUUGAAAAUAAUUAUUUGAACUUGGAUUCAAUGGUCCAAAAGAAAAAAAAUAUGAGAAUUAGAUAUGAUUUUUUAAUCGGCCCAAAUGGCCCAAGAGAGAUCUGAUGUAGGUUGGAUCCGAAAAAAAUGACCCAAUAUAGAUGUGUUAUUAAUAUUACUUGUUUGUCCUUAAUGAAACAUGCAAUGUUAGUAAAGAAAAAAGCAUGCUAAGGUAAAAAUGACAAUAGGAUCCUACUUUAAUAGUAUAGAUUGUUAUCUAUUUAUUAAUUAAAUGUCAUAAAUAUCAUGAUAAUUAUAUAUUAAAUAUAUAUAUAUAUAUUUAAAAUAAUAGUAUAUAUGUAUAUCAGUAGAAUAGUUUAAUGUUUAUUAAUUAUCUUUAAUUUCAUGAUAAAUAUAUAUAUUUUAAAAUAAAAUUUUAAAUAAUAAUAUUAAUUAAGCUAAUAAUUUAUUCUAAAAUUAUCGAAAAAUGACAAGUAAGCAAAUUAACUAAAAUCCCUGUUCGAAACUACGUUAGGCGCUAGUCGGGCGGUUGUCCUGGGCCUAGCGAGUUACUGAAAAAUCGAGGAUUAAGCGGGAUUUACGCGGGGCCUAGUUAUUAUAUAGUUUAGCAUAUAAACUAAAUUGUUUGUUUGGUGCAGUGGUUUCCGGCAUCUUAAAUGUCCCAGCAACCUGGGUUCGAAGGCAAGUUAGCGAAUUUUUGUCAUAUUUUUUUUGUUUUUCUUUAAUGAAUGGUAUAAUUGUAAUUCUCGCUUCAUCUUCCUCAUUUAGGGCUGCGAUUCUGCAACUCAAAAACACAGCCGCAUUCUUUAGUUUUCUUAGCUACAUCACUUUUCUCUGUUUCUUUAACCUAAUACUUACAGAUCUUGUAUAUAUUGAUUGAUUUUUAACUUUAAAUGGGCAAAAAACGAAGUUUAUCAAAGUCUCCGAGUUUUUGUCCGAUUAACGCCAAAUCGAAACGCUGCUUGAACGCCAAGCGUUUAUUCGCCGCGUUUUCGGACUCGGCGGCCGCGUUUUCGAACAUGGACUAAAAUCAUGGAAAAAAUGAUAAUUAAGCAAAAUUUUAAAUAAUAAUAUUAAUUAAAUUAAUGUUUUAUUUUAACAUCAUGGAAAAAAUGACAAGUAAGCAAAUUAACUAAAAUCAUGGAAAAUAUGACAAAUAAACAAAUUCAAUUCUCAAAUAAUAGUAUAGAUACCACCAAAUCUUAUCGCUUAAUUUCAGUUUAAGUUUUUUAGAUAAAACAUAAAAUAAAUAUCUCUAAAACAAAGACGUAAUCGCUUCGCUUUCUCGAGAAACAUAAAACGACAUACAUUUCUUGAUCUCAUUCUCAACGACAAUUGACCAAACAUCUGUAAUCUGAUCAAUUAUACAGAGGUUCUAAUCAAAAAGUGUAAUCAUAGAUGUUUUGAAUAAAAUCACGUGUUGCAACUUGCAAUAAGAAAAGGGUCGGUCCCUUAUUAAAAAAAGAUGAUGAAUCAGUUUGCAAAAAUUAACAAAAGAAAAACUAUUCAAGUGUCCCAUGAGGAUCUGGUUUAGCUGUGAAAAUUGUAUUACAUCAACAAAACAACGUUUGAUCCAUUGUCAAUCCUUUUGACGUUUUGCUGAGUCUUCUGACUUCAGAGUUCUAUACCGGUGAAUCAAAACUACUAGUUAUUAGCAAGUUGAGCUAAAUAAAAACAAAAAAAAUACUAUCUAAAUCUGAAGACUUUUGAUUACACAAAUAUAGAGAAUACAUAUAUAUUAUGUGAUGUUACAAAAAAAAAAAAAAAAAAACAUAUAUAUUAUGUGAACUAGAAGUUAAAAUGGAAAAUAAAAAUCAUAGCUAGUCAUGUUCUUCAAUGCUUUUUUUUUGGACAAGUUCUUCAAUGCAUUAAAGUUAAGAAAAGAAAAAUAAAAAAACACAGUCAUGUUCUUCUAAUGCAUUAAAACCAGCCUGUCGAGCUGAGGUUGUGUAAUGAACAAACAACCAAAAAUAAACAAAGUCAUAACCAGAUUUAAGUAAACAAAGAAACAAAGACUAUUACUAGUAUUUAGAAAUCUUGAAUUGAGUUUUUCACUAACAAAAUCGUAUAACGUGUUCCACAAACAAUGAGAUCUACAGUGAUUGGUUUGCCACCUUACCACGUUUUCUCCUCGGAGAAACUGGAAGACACUACUAACGACUUCGGUGCAGCAAGUUUGUUCUGUGAACAGUUGUACAAAGGUUGUAUCAGGGAAGGCAUAGCAGUGAAAAUGAGAGGUACCAAAAUGAAGCAGAGAAGAGUUUUCCACAGAGCUUAGCUCAGAAGAUGGAAGUU